AUGGAACACUUCCGUUUCCUGGUCAUCCUCUCACUCUCUGGCUUGGCCAUGGCCUUGCAGCUAAUCAGCCCGUGCAACGCUGCGCAAGCUCAGCCGCAGGCGAUCUACGACACAGAUGGCCAUGAGCUAACAAGCCACAACAUGUACAACAUCAUGCCGGUGGACCGCAAUCUGAGCGACCAAUGUGUCUACGUUAGCUCAUUACGGGACCCCAGAUGUCGUAUGCGUGCGAUUCUAACACCGUGCAAGAAGUUUGGCAGGAAUCCAGACGGGUAUGUUUCGAUCAAGCUGGCGGAGGGGAGCUCCAGCUCCAGCACGGAGGCGUCACCUCGCCUCUCGACCGACGUCGUGAUCGAGUUUCGCGGCGUGGUCACCUGGUGCAUGCAUCGUCUCCAGUGGUACGCCCACGGAGGGAUCACCAACCAGACGCAUGUGACAGUCGACCGCCCCGAAGGGAUGGAGGGGUGCGAAGCGCCGGCAGGCACAUGCAAGAAGAGUUUCAUGUUUCGCGUCGAGAAGCACGGCACCGGGUACAAGCUGAUGUCGUGCUUCCAUGCGCCGUGCCGCGAUCUGGUGUUGUUCGACUACAAUGGACACAGGUGGCUGACCGUAGAGAAAGAUGGGCGUGAGCCUCUGGUGGUUGUGUUCAAGAAGUUCCAUCUCGCCAGCUUGCCUCCUGCAAAUCCUCCCCAACUAGGCUAG
rnacentral:rRNA from 1 species